CCUGCACACGACAUCGUAAUUCCUCCAAACUUGAAAUAGGCUUGAAGUACACCUGUUCUUUUAGACAGCCCCAGUAAAAAAAAUCUAGUGGAUUUAAGUCCGGGGAUCGCGAAGGCCACAAAAUGGGACCCAAACGACCAAUCCAUCUAUUUGGAUACGUGGCAUUUAAAUACACACGGACGUUUGCAGCAUAAUGUGCAGGACAACCAUCAUUUUGUAGCCAGUGGGAUUGUCUCACUUCCUCAGGCACGUCUUCCUUUUUUUUUUUAUGUCACUAGGUCGGCAAACAAGCGUACGGCUCACCUGAUGGUAAGCGAUCACCGUAGCUUAUAGACGCCUGCAAUACCAGAAGCAUCGCAAGCGCGUUACCGACCCAAUCCCCAAUCCCCCCAGGAGCUCUGGUCACCUUACUCACCAACAGGAACAUAAUACUGCUUGAAAACAGUAUUAUUUUGCUGUGAUCUUCUGUAAGGUCGAGGUACUACCCCCGUCGGGCUGCUCCAUAUUUUGAGCAGAAAAUUUCCUGCUGUGCCCU
rnacentral:misc_RNA from 1 species